ACCUUUUUGCAGGCAGUGGACACAUAUCCUUUUACAAACAUUAGUAAGAUAUAGACUCACGGCUCUCAUUUCCCCCACACCCCCAGCCCCUCCUCGUGCCCCCGAAGCUCUUACCAGCGGAUGAUUAUCUUAUCUGACCAUGCCCCCGAUUGUGGAUCGCCGCCGCAUCGAUCCAUCACUGGCAUUGACAAGCAAGAACAGAGCACAAACGCUGUCAAGGCAGACAUGCCGACUGAUAAAAUUGAUUUCACCAGAAACUUACUAGAGAAAAAGGAGCAUACUUCUUCCGAAUAUCAUUCUAACAACAAUGCUGAUCAGCAUUUUACUUCAAAGUUAUCACUGCCAAAGUUCAUCACUGUUGCACAGUCAAUCAAUCCCAAACAGAGAGAACUUGUCAAGAGUAUUGGCUUCCAUCACCUGCUUGAUUUAUCUUGCAAAACUCUACCCAAAUCAAUCAUAUUAUGGCUAGCUAGGCAUUUUGAUGUCGCAACAACAUCCUUAUUUUUACCAAAUGGCUAUUUCUUCAAGAUAUCAGCUUAUCAAAUACAUCAGGUGCUUGGUAUACCAAUUGGAGGGUCCCCCCUACCUAGUUUCUGUGAUACUAAAAUAAAGAAUUUAAUAUCCGAACAAACAAAAUGUGCUGGCAAGUACCCCACUAUCAAUGAGCUUUCCUCUCUUAUCAAAGAUGGCCUUGAUGAUGAUAAGUUCAAGAUGGUUUUUGCUCUUUUUGCUAUCACAACUCUUCUAUGCCCCACCAGCAGCGACUGUGCAAGCCCAGAUUUCUUCCCUGCUGUGCACAUUCCUAACAAAAUUAUCAGCUACAACUGGUGUCAUAUUGUUCUUGACAAGUUAGUUUCAUCUAUUGCAAAGUUCCAACAGUCCACCCUAUCACAUGGUACAGCAGCCCUCGGCGGAUGUCAAUUUGCUCUAAUGAUAAUAUACUUUGAGAUGCUGGACACAACAGAGUUAUUCUUGCCAGACACAAUCCCACGUAUUGGACUAUGGUCAACUGAGAACGUGUCUACAUACGUAAAACUUGAUCAGAUCAAUGAUGACAGGAAUUCAUUUGGCAAAAUACCUAUGAAGAAUGUUAUGUUCACAGCAUUUAGACCACGCAGUUUGACAAAUGGUAUCUUCAUUGACACCUCAAAUGACAUACAAGAUGUAUUGCAUUCUAUUCUACCUGGGCAAACUUUCCAUAAUGCCCAAAUUCAACUCCAAAAAUCUUAUGAAGAUCUCUGGAUUGACCAUGUUCAGGCAUUGAGGCCUGUCUUCAUUUCACAGAUUUUGAAAUCUGCUUCAAUCAUUCUCGAGAACAGCAAGAAUGAUGAAUUCAGUUUUUCAAACAAGUUUACCUCAUCCUGUUCAAUUCAUAAAGAAAUAGCAGGGUCAACACCAUGUACUGCACCCGCCCAACAUGGCAAUAUGGUGAUUAGCACCAACUAUGUUCAGAAUGAAGAUUCAGGACUUAAAUCAGCACAUGAAUCCGCUGGUUCCACCGAACCAGGUAAUGACCUAUCAGCGGCAUCACUCACAUUUUGUGGAACCCCCAUCAAUAUGCCAAACUUUACAUGCCAACAGCCUCUUGAUGAUCAGUUCAGUAUUGCUGGGUUUCUAGAAUCGGCCAUCGAGGAUCUUAAUCCAAUUGAUUGUCGGGAUGGAAGUGAUAUUUAUCAGUGCAGUCAGCUGCUUGAGUUUGAAAAUAAACUUCUUGAAUCAGACUUGCGCCCUUUGCCAUGUGAUAUAGAGCCAGGUUGUGAGAUUUCUCUUAUCAACUUAGCAUCAUUGAAUAUUGCUGACAAGUCAUAUCUAUCUAUUGUGAAUCAGAAGGAGAUUUGUAUGCCUCAAACAUCCUCAAAUUCCAAUAACAAGGAAGAUUUAGAUCGACAAGUAUAUGUCAAUACUGUACCAUUCAAGAAAAGACCAAUCUCCACUGAUAUUACCAACUCAACAGAAGCAUCUACCAACAAAGAUGACCAAGUAGAAAAAAAAGAAAGCAGGCCCAAGGCAGCACUGUCCCUCAAUGAACUGCAGCUUCAAAGGAUAGCAAAAUUUGCUGCACACAGGAAAAAGAAGCUUAGGUUUGGUACAUCAGAAUCCGCUAACAACAACAUGACAACAGCCACUCAAGCAAGCGAGCAUUCCACAGUUGAUGCACAUGAUACAAAUUUUUCAGAAGCAGAACCUAGAUCGUCACUACAAUCUCUGAAGAUCCAGCAGCCACAAACAAAAAUUGAUUGUACAGUAGUAGGAGCAGGUCAUGUUUCCACUCAAGCAAACAUAUCAGUUUCUCAUAGCUCUCUGGGUUUCCCAUCAUCAGCAUACAUACCUGAGUGUAGCAAAUUCACUUCAUCCAGAAUUGGAACAAUCCCAACAACAGACAUUUUGCCGUCCAUCAACACCGAUACUGGAGUCUGGGAUGAGCAAAUGAUAAGACUGAUGGAUGAAUCAGUUGUCAUUGCCAAGGCAUCACAGCAAUCACCUCCCGAGAGCAUGAUCCCCCUACACCCAGUUUUUUUCUUCCAUGUGUUUGUGUCAUCACCCGUUGAAAGAGACGUCCAUCAAUACAUUGUCAACAACAUCCCACCCCCCCCAACCUGCUAGAAGCCCAAGAAUCAUAAGGAUUGCAUCUUUGAAUUGGGUGGAUCAUCGGACUUUUGGCUUAUCAAUGCAAGUGCAUGGCUCUGUCUCUCACAAUGUUAUGAACAUCAUGGGUGCUGCUGUGAUGGAAGAACAAUUUCGAAAACACUUACAAGAUUUGUUGCCACCAGAAGAAUGGGGGAAGCAUGUCGUACACCAUGACACAGCUGUUUUCCUACAGGACCCAGGACUUGACCCCCAGGUUAUUGCUUGCAAUUUUGCUGAAAAGAAAAUCGGCUAUAGCCUGGACAAUGCUGACAUGGUGCUUGUCCCUCUCCGGAAAAAUUCUUUUUGGUAUCUGUUUGUUGCUAAUUUCAGACAUAAAAGGUUUGAGGUUAUUUGCCCAUUCAAGAAUUCAGAUAUUAUAAAAGAUGAUGCUCUUGUUGCUGUUGCAAACUUCAGAAAAGUCUUUAAGUGUGUCAAGAGCAGGUCAACAAGAGUUGAAAUAUACAACAUGCCAACAGUGAUUGGAAGUGUAUCGAGCAGCACAAACCAGAAUGACAGCGGUGUGUUUGUUCUAAAACUGUUGUUAUCAUAUACUGGCAAUACUCAUUUUUAUUUCAAACCAGAUCAUGCAAAACCAAUUCGUGAAAUGGUAACAUACUAUCUGUGCAUGCAUGCUGAGAAUCAGAUUGUAAUUCCUGAAAUAAAGUUGAUUACUUCAAGACAUGGUGUUGAACCUAUUAGUUAUGUCACAAGAUGCGCGAAGAAAUGAUGCACUCGCGAAGAAAUGAUGCACUGCCUGACGUUUGAAAAGCAAAAAAGAUCUACAAAUUAACGAAAAAGAUACAAUUAUACUUGGUGUCAAUAUUCUCUUCUAUUUUUUUUAGAAAAUUUUACAUUUUCCCCGCUUGGGUUUUUUGCAUGCACCCUACACAUGAUAUUGCAAGGCAUCACAACCUUUUUUAUUCUCGUUAAUAAAUUUUUUGUUAACAGAUUUUUA